rnacentral:tRNA from 1 species
GGCUCGGUAGCUUAGUUGGUAAAGCGCUUAUCUAGCAUACAAGAGUUCUGGGUUCAAAUCCCAACCGGCUA